GCAUAAUGGAUAGCAAUAUCUAUGGUGGCGACCGGCGCACGGGUGCGUAACGCGUAUGCAACCUACCUUUAACAGGGGGAUAACACUGAGAAAUUGGUACUAAUACCCCAUAACAUCAUGAAAGGCAUCUUUUAUGGUUGAAAAUUCCGAUGGUUAGAGAUGGGCAUGCGUUGUGUUAGCUAGUUGGUGGGGUAACGGCUCACCAAGGCGACGAUACAUAGGGGGACUGAGAGGUUAACCCCCCACACUGGUACUGAGACACGGACCAGACUCCUACGGGAGGCAGCAGUGAGGAAUAUUGGUCAAUGGACGCAAGUCUGAACCAGCCAUGCCGCGUGCAGGAUGACGGCUCUAUGAGUUGUAAACUGCUUUUGUACUAGGGUAAACUCACCUACGUGUAGGUGACUGAAAGUAUAGUACGAAUAAGGAUCGGCUAACUCCGUGCCUGCAGCCGCGGUAAUACGGAGGAUUCAAGCGUUAUCCGGAUUUAUUGGGUUUAAAGGGUGCGUAGGCGGUUUGAUAAGUUAGAGGUGAAAUGUUAGGGCUCAACCCUGAAACUGCCUCUAAUACUGUUGGACUAGAGAGUAGUUGCGGUAGGCGGAAUGUAUGGUGUAGCGGUGAAAUGCUUAGAGAUCAUACAGAACACCGAUUGCGAAGGCAGCUUACAGACUAUAUCUGACGUU
rnacentral:rRNA from 1 species